AGUCUCCUGGUGCUUACCCACAGGAUGUGUUCUUAUACUGGUUGUAUAGAAUAAGUAGGCAGAGCAAACCUAUCCUAUAUACACCUCAGCUCAGGCCCUGUGCCAGGUCUGUAUUGUGAAUGGCGGGAGCAUGG
rnacentral:snoRNA from 1 species